UGGGCCAACGGGAAUGGGGCUUCCCGCGAACCGCCUUCGGGCUGAUAGCUCCUACACACCG
rnacentral:ncRNA from 1 species